AGAUAUUGACCAAUUCAGUUGCAGUAGUUGCAGUACUGCUGAAAAUAGUAAAAUUCAAGUUUACAAAAAUAUCACUCACAUGAAAUAUGUUCAAAAAUGUGUUAAGAGUUCUAGUUUGUGAAUAUAUGUGUACAAUUAAGAAUGUACUAACCAAUCAUUUAUGGUGCCCCUUUAAACAAAGUAGUAAUUAUGUGUUUAUGCCUUUUUCUUUAUUUGUUUAUAGCUCCCACCGGUAGUUAC